AACAAGAAAAUAGACUCUACUUAGAAAUGAAACUCAACUAAAGGUAAAAGUUGUCAGGAACAUCUCCAAGAAAGCCAGAGUCAGCCUCUAAACUUUGCAUCAAGAACGCAAUGGCUUCCCUGAGGGCCCAGGGACGCGUGGCAGCUGUGAGGCAGCCCCUUCUCUGCUGUCGAGGAACUGGACACUUCUCCUGUCCCUUCCCACAAGGUGGGUAUAAUAUUAGGCAGAAACCCAAUAUAAAAAGAAAAGCAGAGUUGUUGUAGAUUCAUCGAGGGUUGGCGACCUGGUUCCAAUGAGCCAUCUCCCUGUUCCGACAGGGGCUUCCUGGAGCUCCUGCAACCCCAGGCAUUAGUUCCGGUGCAGUUCUAGGAUCAGAUCAAUUCACUCGACAACAAGAGAAACAAAUGGAGAUUCCUACACAAAGACUUUCAAGCACAAAGAAAUCCUGCUGCCUGUAAAGCGGAGCUGCCUCAGCCCUUGAUGAACGACAGAAAAUCUCACAUUCCAGGAAUUCAGAUGAAGUGAAGUGCUCUCAUGGGGACCAGGCAUGGUUAUGCCAGUCCACUGCCCUGCAAGCCUCAAGGGAAGCCAACUGCCCUUCAGCAAGUCACACCUGCCUUGGUGGAGGCCUUGAUUGGAAGUGCCACACGCUACAUGUCCAGUCCUGAGCGGGAGAAUCGGUGUAGGGACGUUCUGGGGAUGCCAGCUGUGGCCAGAUCAGGUCCAACUACAGAAGAAUAAUGAAGACUCCACCUGAGGGCUGGAAAAACAAAACCUCAAGUGUGAGGCAGCCAACCUGUUACCUCGAGGGACUGUUCCGCAGCACAGCGGGGCCAUGGGAACAGCAGCAGACACCCCGACCUCCUCGCUACCUGUGUGUGUAUUAACACGCCGGCCUCCUCGCUACCUAUCAACUAUGGCCUGA
rnacentral:lncRNA from 10 species